rnacentral:rRNA from 1 species
UACGUAGGGCGCGAGCGUUGUCCGGAAUUAUUGGGCGUAAAGAGCUCGUAGGCGGUCCUUUAAGUCUGAUGUGAAAGCCCACGGCUCAACCGUGGAGGGUCAUUGGAAACUGGGGGACUUGAGUGCAGAAGAGGAGAGCGGAAUUCCACGUGUAGCGGUGAAAUGCGUAGAGAUGUGGAGGAACACCAGUGGCGAAGGCGGCUCUCUGGGACGGUACUGACGCUGAGACGCGAAAGCGUGGGGAGCGAACAGG